GACGAACGCUUGCGGCGUGCCUAAGAAAUGCAAGUCGAACGGACAGUAGCAAUACUGUCAGUGGCGAACGGUCGCGUAACACGUAAGCAACCUGCCCUGAAGUGGGGGACAACAGACCGAAAGGUCUGCUAAUACCGCAUGUGGUCAUUAGGAGGCAUCUUUUGAUGACUAAAGGAUUUAUUCGCUUCAGGAUGGGCUCGCGGCCUAUCAGGUAGUUGGUGGGGUAACGGCCUACCAAGCCGACGACGGGUAGCUGGUCUGAGAGGACGAUCAGCCGGAUUGGGACUGAGAUACGGCCCAGACUCCUACGGGGGGCAGCAAUUAGGAAUCUUGCGCAAUGGGGGAAACCCUGACGCAGCGACGCCGCGUGCGGGACGAAGGCCUUCGGGUCGUAAACCGCUUUUAGCAGGGAAGAAGCGAAAGUGACGGUACCUGCAGAAAAAGCACCGGCUAACUACGUGCCAGCAGCCGCAGUAACAC
rnacentral:rRNA from 1 species